rnacentral:rRNA from 1 species
GGCCAUGGCCAUACCACCCGAACACAUCCUAUCUCAUCUGAUCUCUGAAGCUAAGCAGGAUUGGGCCUGGUUAGUACUUGGAAGGGAGAAAAUAAAUAAUGUGUAAAUGUUUGUAUUUAGCAUGAUAGCUGCUAUGCA